UACAGAGGUCCCAAGCGUUGUUCGGAUUCACUGGGCGUAAAGGGUGCGUAGGUGGUCGGGUAAGUCUGAUGUGAAAUCUCCGGGCCUAACCCGGAAACUGCAUCGGAUACUAUUCGGCUAGAGGGUUGGAGGGGGGACUGGAAUACUUGGUGUAGCAGUGAAAUGCGUAGAUAUCAAGUGGAACACCAGUGGCGAAGGCGAGUCCCUGGACAACUCCUGACACUGAGGCACGAAAGCUAGGGGAGCAAGCAGG
rnacentral:rRNA from 1 species